AUGGACCAUGCAAGUGUGUUGCCGACGAUUAUGGCUUACCAUUUAUUGGAAGUGAUGACAAAUUAUUUCUCUGAGGAUCGGGAGCUUGGUAGAGGCACAUUUGGAGAAGUUUAUAUGGGAUUGCAUACCGAUGGGCAAAGGAUUGCUGUGAAGAUCCUUCAUCCCAUGCUUCACAACCUUGAUGAUACACAAUUCGAGCAGGAGUAUCACAACCUUGAAAGUCUCCAACACCAGAAUAUUGUGCGCUUAGUUGGCUAUUGCAAUGAAACUAGACGGGAAUUCGUGUCAUUUGAAGGAAGAACGGCACUUAGUGAAAGGACACACAGGGCACUUUGCUUUGAAUAUAUGCAAAAUGGAAACCUGGACAAUCAUCUUUCUGAUGAAUCUAGCGGACAUGACUGGCACACACGCUAUGCAAUAAUUAAAGGAAUUGCGAAGGGGUUGAAAUACCUUCAUGUGGAAUUCACACCCCCUAUGUUUCAUUUGGAUUUAAAACCAGCCAAUGUAUUGCUGGAUGAGAACUGGGUGGCGAAAAUUGGGGAUUUUGGAUUGUCAAGGUUCAUGCAAAAUGAGCAAACGCAUAUCACAACAAGUUCUAUAGGAACAAUUGGUUACUUACCGCCAGAAUAUAUAGAUGGGGGAGUAAUUUCAAAUAAGUUUGACAUAUUCAGCUUGGGUGUUAUUAUGAUAAAGGUAAUGGCAGGACGUACGGGCUACUCACAAAGUGUUGAAAUGUCUUCCCUGGAAUUCAUUGAUCUUGUAUCCGGGAAUUGGAGGAAUCGUCUGCAAGCAGCUUUAAUGGAUCCGAUAGAGCCAUACUGUGAACAAAUAAGGAGAUGCAUCACAAUAGCUUUAGCUUGUGUUGAACCCGACCGACACCGAGGGCCUACUAUAGGGUAUAUCUUGAAUGAGUUGAAUCAGACAGAGACAAUGGGUCGGUUUCCCGACGUAUCGCCAAGUGACCCAGGGUCAUCGAUGAACCAGGAAACCAGGCAAACUGACAUUACAGAAGUAGAAGAAAAUCGGGAGAGGGAAGAACUGAGCCGGAUAGAGAAUCUCUUUGGUGAAGUAGUCGACAACUACAAGUUGGAUCAAAUGGCAAGUUACAUGGGCAAAUCCAAGACACGGGAUGACCAAGUACGAGAGGCCUGCAUCCUGGUGGAGGAGGACAACAAAGAUGCCAAGGCUACGAGGUAUGUGGACGGCCUCAAGACCAUGCAUGGCAAUGGCGAUGGUCAGUCCACGCUGUGCCUUGUGUAUAACGCGACCGGCGGCACCCUCCACCACGUCCUCCAGCACGACUGGUCUGGUCAUAUUGGCAGGGCUCCCUGCCCUGCCUUGAUCGGCAACGGCCAGUGGGCUGCCUUUCAUCACGUUGCCCAGCCCGGCGAGCCAGAUUCGCUGGCGGCGGUCGUCUACCGCGGGAAGAACAAAGAUGGCGACGAACAUGAUUACUCCCUCCGUUUUAAAAUAGAUGACCCAAUUUUAUACUAA
rnacentral:rRNA from 1 species